UUUACAAGUUCCUGAGCUGUUUGCGUCAAUAAGUAUCUGGGACACUGAGAUAAAUAACAAGAUUUGAUUAGACACCUUCAGAAGAUGGUUCUGGAGAACAAAAUCACAUGAAAAAGUACAGAGAAAGAAAUAAGAAAUGUGGAGCUCUACUGAACCACUACCAAAGGAUGCUGUCAAGUGAUUCAAAGACCACUGCAUUAAUUUUGAAUGGAUCAAUAGAUUGCGCUUCAAUCCCAGGCCAUAAACAGAUUUUGGGCAUAACCCAUGCCUGAAAGAGGAAAAUUCUUAACUAAUACUUCAUACAAGGCUACAGAAGAGGGAUUUUGGCUAAAAUGGGUAAGAGCUGAAGAUGGAGGUUGCAGAGGGUUUUUUUUAAAAGUCUUUAGUCUUGUUUCUAUCCUCUUUCCAGAAUAA